rnacentral:rRNA from 1 species
GACGUAGGGCGCGAGCGUUUGUCCGGAUUUAUUGGGCGUAAAGAGCGUGUAGGCGGCUUGGUAGGUCCGCUGUGAAAACUCGAGGCUCAACCUCGAGAUGUCGGCGGAAACCACUUGGCUAGAGUCCGGAAGAGGAGAGUGGAAUUCCUGGUGUAGCGGUGAAAUGCGCAGAUAUCAGGAAGAACACCUAUGGCGAAGGCAGCUCUCUGGGACGGUACUGACGCUGAGACGCGAAAGCGUGGGGAGCGAACAGG